GACGAACGCUGGCGGCGUGCUUAACACAUGCAAGUCGAACGGAAAGGCCCUGCUUUUGUGGGGUGCUCGAGUGGCGAACGGGUGAGUAACACGUGAGUAACCUGCCCUUGACUUUGGGAUAACUUCAGGAAACUGGGGCUAAUACCGGAUAGGAGCUCCUGCUGCAUGGUGGGGGUUGGAAAGUUUCGGCGGUUGGGGAUGGACUCGCGGCUUAUCCGCUUGUUGGUGGGGUAGUGGCUUACCAGGGCUUUGACGGUUAGCCGGCCUGGGAGGGUGACCGGCCCCAUGGGGCCGAGGAUACGCCCCGGACUCCUCCGGGAGGCAGCAGUGGGGAUAAUGGCACAAUGGGCGGAAGCCUGAGCAAGCAACGCCGCGGGCGGGAUGACGGCCUUCGGGUUGUAAACCGCUUUCGCCUGCGACGAAGCGUGAGUGACGGUAAUGGGUAAAGAAGCACCGGCUAACUACGUG
rnacentral:rRNA from 1 species